rnacentral:rRNA from 1 species
GACGAACGCUGGCGGCGUGCUUAAUACAUGCAAGUCGAGCGAGGUUACUGUUUCGGAUCCCUUCGGGGUGAAGAAGCUUUAACCUAGCGGCGGACGGGUGAGUAACGCGUGGGUAACCUACCCCAAAGUCCGGGAUAACAGCGGGAAACCGCUGCUAAUACCGGAUGCCUUUACCUUGGGGCAUCUUGAGGUAAAGAAAGGUAACGCUUUGGGAUGGGCCCGCGUCCCAUUAGCUAGUUGGUGAGGUAACGGCUCACCAAGGCGACGAUGGGUAGCCGGCCUGAGAGGGUGGACGGCCACACUGGGACUGAGACACGGCCCAGACUCCUACGGGAGGCAGCAGUAGGGAAUAUUGCGCAAUGGACGGAAGUCUGACGCAGCGACGCCGCGUGAGCGAUGAAGGUCUUCGGAUCGUAAAGCUCUGUCCUUGGGGAAGAAGGCGAAAGCUUGACGGUACCCAAGAAGAAAGCCCCGGCUAACUACGUGCCAGCAGCCGCGGUAAAUCACGUGUA